GGUCCCAUGACGGCAUCGGAGCGCGCGGCGCUGGGGCUGGAGACGGCCUGCGCGGCCCGGGAGCAACUCGCUCGCGGUUAGGCAGGCCCAGAGCCGUCCUCCCUCAACAUGGGGCUGGAAGCCCAGAGGCUGCCAGCGACUGAAGAGGCCCCGGUGCGGGUUGCCCUGCGAGUUCGACCCCUGCUUCCCAAGGAGCUGCUGUACGGGCAUCAGAGCUGCCUGCAGGUGGAGCCGAGGCUCGGCCGUGUCACCCUGGGCCGGGACCGACACUUCGGCUUCCACGUGGUGCUGGCCGAGGAUGCCGGGCAGGAGGCCGUGUACCAAGCCUGUGUCCAGCCCCUCCUUGAGGCCUUCUUUGAGGGCUUCAAUGCCACCGUCUUUGCCUAUGGUCAGACGGGCUCUGGGAAGACAUACACCAUGGGGGAAGCCAGUGUGGCCUCCCUGCUCGAGGAUGAGCAGGGCAUUGUCCCGAGGGCCAUGGCCGAGGCCUUCAAGCUCAUCGAUGAGAACGACCUGCUUGACUGUCUAGUGCAUGUGUCCUACCUGGAAGUGUACAAGGAGGAGUUCCGAGACCUGCUUGAGGUGGGCACCGCCAGCCGUGACAUCCAGCUCCGGGAAGAUGAGCGUGGGAAUGUUGUGCUGUGUGGGGUGAAGGAGGUUGACGUGGAGGGCCUGGACGAGGUGCUGAGCCUCCUGGAGAUGGGCAACGCGGCGCGGCAUACGGGGGCGACACACCUCAACCGGCUGUCCAGCCGCUCGCACACUGUCUUCACCGUCACUCUGGAGCAGCGAGGGCGCACCCCCAGUCGCCUGCCCCACCCCGCCGCCGGCCAGCUGCUUGUCUCCAAGUUCCAUUUUGUGGACCUGGCGGGCUCGGAGAGGGUGCUCAAGACUGGCAGCACCGGCGAGCGCCUCAAGGAGAGCAUCCAGAUCAACAGCAGCCUCCUGGCGCUGGGCAAUGUCAUCAGCGCCCUGGGGGACCCCCAGCGCCGGGGUAGCCACAUCCCCUACCGCGACUCCAAGAUCACCCGGAUCCUCAAGGACUCCCUGGGCGGGAACGCCAAGACGGUGAUGAUCGCCUGCGUCAGCCCUUCCUCCUCCGACUUCGACGAGACCCUCAACACCCUCAACUACGCCAGCCGCGCGCAGAACAUCCGCAACCGCGCCACCGUCAACUGGCGGCCCGAGGCCGAGCGGCCGUCCGAGGACGCGGCGAGUGGUGCGCGGGGGCCGCCGCGGCAUCGCUCCGAGACCCGCAUCAUCCACCGCGGCCGGCGCGCCCCGGGCCCCGCCGCCUCCGCCUCCGCCUCCGCCUCCUCCUCCUCCGCCGCGGCCGCCCUGCGCCUGGGCGCCGAGUGCGCGCGCUACCGGGCCUGCACCGACGCCGCCUACAGCCUCCUGCGCGAGCUGCACGCCCAGCCCGGGCUGCCAGGUGCUGCGGCCCGCAAGGUGCGCGACUGGCUGUGCGCGGUGGAGGGCGAGCGCAGCAACGUGAGCUCCGCCUCCGGGCCCGACAGCGGCAUCGACAGCGCCUCCGUCGAGGACCAGGCGGCGCAGAGGGCCGGCGGGCGAAAGGAGGAUGAGGGGGUGCCGCAGCUGCUGACCCUGCAGAACCAGGUGGCGCGGCUGGAAGAGGAGAACCGAGACUUUCUGGCUGCACUGGAGGACGCCAUGGAGCAGUACAAGCUGCAGAGCGACCGGCUGCGUGAGCAGCAGGAGGAGAUGGUGGAGCUGCGGCUGCGGUUAGAGCUGGUGCGGCCUGGCUGGGGGGCCCCUGGGCUGCUGCCGGGCCUGCCUUCCGGGUCCUUUCUGCCUCGGCCUCAUACAGCUCCCCUGGGGGGCGCCCACAGCCAUGUGCUGGGCAUGGUGCCCCCUGACUGCCUCUGUGGAGAUGAAGUUGGCUCUGAGCACAGGAGAGAGCAGGUGACAGAUGGCAGGGAGGCUGGAGCUGAGCUGCUGGCUGAUGUGAACAGGCUGGGAAGUGGCUCUUCAGCUGCAUCAGAGGAGGAGAAGGAGGAUUCGCCCAGGCGGACCUUACACCUGCGCAGAAAUGGGAUCAGUAACUGCAUCCAGAGGGCGGGGGCCCAGCCAGGGAGUCCAUCAGACAGGAGGGCCCCAGAGCUCUGCCUUGAAGAGUUGGAGGCAGCCAUCCCAGGGUCCAGAGCAGUUGGGAGCAAGGCCCGGGUUCAGGCCUGCCAGGUCCCCUCUGCCAUGGCCUCGGAGUGGCGGCUGGCCCAGGCCCAGCAGAAGAUCCGGGAGCUGGCUAUCAACAUCCGCAUGAAGGAGGAGCUCAUUGGCGAGCUGGUCUGCACAGGAAAGGCAGCUCAGGCCCUGAACCGCCAGCACAGCCAGCGUAUCCGGGAGCUGGAGCAGGAGGCAGAGCAGGUGCGGGCUGAGCUGAGUGAAGGCCAGAGGCAGCUGCGGGAGCUGGAGGGCAAGGAGCCCCAGGAUGCCGGCGAGCGGUCUCGGCUCCAGGAGUUCCGCAGGAGGGUCGCUGCGGCCCAGAGCCAGGUGCAGGUGCUGAAGGAAAAGAAGCAGGCCACGGAGCGGCUGGUGUCACUGUCGGCCCAGAGUGAGAAGCGACUGCAAGAGCUGGAGCGGAAUGUGCAGCUCAUGCGGCAGCAGCAGGGGCAGCUGCAGAGGCGGCUUCGUGAGGAGACAGAGCAGAAGCGGCGCCUGGAGGCGGAGAUGAGCAAGCGGCAGCACCGCGUCAAGGAGCUGGAGCUGAAGCAUGAGCAGCAGCAGAAGAUCCUGAAGAUUAAGACGGAGGAGAUUGCAGCCUUCCAGAGGAAGAGGCGCAGUGGCAGCAACGGCUCUGUGGUCAGCCUGGAGCAGCAGCAGAAGAUCGAGGAGCAGAAGAAGUGGCUGGACCAGGAGAUGGAGAAGGUGCUGCAGCAGCGGCGGGCGCUGGAGGAGCUAGGGGAGGAGCUCCGCAAGCGGGAAGCCAUCCUGGCCAAGAAGGAGGCCCUAAUGCAAGAGAAGACAGGGCUGGAGAGCAAGCGCCUGCGGUCCAGCCAGGCCCUCAACGAGGACAUCGUGCGUGUGUCCAGCCGGCUGGAGCACCUGGAGAAGGAGCUGUCAGAGAAGAGUGGGCAGCUGCGGCAGGGCAGCGCCCAGAGCCAGCAGCAGAUCCGAGGGGAGAUUGACAGCCUGCGCCAGGAGAAGGACUCGCUGCUCAAGCAGCGCCUGGAGAUCGACAGCAAGCUGCGGCAGGGGAGCCUGCUGUCCCCCGAGGAGGAGCGGACGCUGUUCCAGUUGGAUGAGGCCAUUGAGGCCCUGGAUGCUGCCAUUGAGUACAAGAAUGAGGCCAUCACAUGCCGCCAGCGAGUGCUUCGGGCCUCAGCCUCUUUGCUGUCCCAGUGCGAGAUGAACCUCAUGGCCAAGCUCAGCUACCUCUCGUCCUCUGAGACCAGAGCCCUCCUCUGCAAGUAUUUUGACAAGGUGGUGACGCUCCGAGAGGAGCAGCACCAGCAGCAGAUUGCCUUCUCUGAGCUGGAGAUGCAGCUGGAGGAGCAGCAGAGGCUGGUGUACUGGCUGGAGGUGGCCCUGGAGCGGCAACACCUGGAGAUGGACCGCCAGCUGACGCUGCAGCAGAAGGAGCACGAGCAGAACUUGCAGCUGCUCCUGCAGCAGAGUCGAGACCACCUUGGUGAAGGGUUAGCAGACAGCAAGAGGCAGUAUGAGGCCCGGAUUCAAGCUCUGGAGAAGGAACUAGGCCGCUACAUGUGGAUAAACCAGGAACUGAAACAGAAGCUCGGUGGUGUGAACACUGCAGGCCACAGCAGAGGGGACUCUUCAACAACACCAAUAUCAGGACCAGGAUCAGAGGACCUUGAGGAACACAUGCACAAGGAUUAUUCCAUGUCACCUGUAACUCACACUCAUUAAAGAGAAAAGCAGCUUCUUAUUUCACAAGAUCACAGGGUCUGAUAACACCAGUGCUGCUAUUCUAAAAUGUAGUACCUUUGGUCUUCUUGAAGUUAUCAAGUUUAUCCUCUAGACCUUCCACAGCUGACACAGAAUGGCUUCUAGGAAACCCCCGCUUCAGUGAUCUCUUUGAAGGGGAAAGCAUUUCCUGGUUGAAAAGAUUUCUUCGAACUUUGGUCACUUCUGAAAGCAUCAAAAAAUAAAAAAGAAAAAGCCAAAGAUUAUCAUCAAUAAACACCGUAUCUGAUAAAAGAUAAGCUGCUUAAGGAAACUAUUGCUAUAGUCACAUUUGCUAAUAAGGUUUCCUUAAACAGUAUACUCCCGCAAUGCAUUAAAAAAAUACUUAUUUUUAUGAAUUUAAAAAAUUUUUAAUAUAUUAUUUUGCAUGAGGUAGGAGGAGUCCAAUGUCAUUCUUUUGCAUGUGGAUAACCAGUUUUCUCAGCAUCAUUUGUGCAAAAGACUUUUCAUUCUCUAUCAAAUUGUCUUGGUACCCUGAGUAUCAGUUGACCAUAAUAAAUGCUAGUGCUAAUUUCUUUUUUAAAGGCUAGAUAGAAUCCAGCAGUGAAACCUUCUAGUCCUGGGCAUUUCUUUGUGAGUAGUUUUUGAUAACUAAUUGAAACUUUUUACUUGUUAUAGAUCUAUUCUGAUUUUCUAUUUCUUCUCGAGUCUGUUUUUAGUAGUUUGUAUCUUUCUACGAGUUUGUCCAUUCCAUCUAGGUUAUCUAAUUUGUUGGUAUACCAUUGUUUGUAGCAUUCUAUUACAAAUUCAAUUUAAAUCUAACUUUUCAGGAACAUGAGGAAGGCCCACACUACUUAUUAAGUUAGAAGCUUGAUUCAUUGUAAAAUGAACAUAAUUCAUAAAUAAGAGGAUGGCUAACAUAGGUCAUGGUCCUUUUAAUAUAUCCCAUGUUAUGAUUAUUUUUCUCAUUUUGGAUCUUUUUCCUGCUGUGUAUUCAGCUCAGCAUUGAAUGGAGAAACUGUUCUUUUCAAUUCUACAGAUUUCAUUUUUCUUCUGACUACUUUACUAAGCUGCUGGGCCAUUUUAAAUUUUCUUCUUCACUCCAAAGCAUGAAAGUUCUGAUCAUCUAGGCUCAAAAUUAGAAAAAAUAGCUGAAAAGUCAAGAAAUACUUGGCAAAGCUAGCAAGACUACCUUAAUCUUAAGCAGGAUAGCCUGGUGGAAGUGAUUCAAAAAUUCACUAAGGGUGAAUUCUUCAAAGAUUAAUCAUUUAAAGCCAAACCAAAUAAUCUAGGAUCCACAAACUGGGAGCAACCGUUGUGUUUACCCAUCAAUGACAUAAACAUUAAUAUCAAGGACAUCAAUAACACAUACCAAAGUUUUAAAAAUUGUUUCCCUAUCUCCAUUAUAGGAGUUUCUAUUACCUAACUUAGGCUGUUGGUGAAACUCAUUUAUGACCUGAAAGCCAAACUUGGUUUGUUAUUUUCUGUUUUUCCCAAUGUUUUGAAAAGUUUAAUGUCUAUGGAAAGUUUCAAAUAAUAAAAUCAAACAUAUGCCCAUUACUAAAGUUCACCGACUGUCAAUAUUUGUUUUUUCCUUCCUUCUCUAUGUACAAUAUUCCGCCUCAACACUGGAGAGUAAAUUGCAAACACUGCAGCUGUUCACUUCCUAAAGGUCAGCAAGUAUCUCCUAUGAACAAGGACAUUCUCCUCCAUAACCCCCAUGCCAUUAUUACACUCAAAAUAUUUUUAACAUUCAUACAAUAUGAUCUAGCAUACACCGCUUCUUCAGAUUUCUCUAAUCAUCUCAAUAAUAUCCUUUCUAGUAUUUUUUUCCCCUAAAUUUAAGAUCCAAGCAGGGAACAUGGAACGCAUUUAGCUGUCAUGCUUAAACUCCAUUCAUCUAAAACAGUUCCACUGCCUCUUUUCUUUUUCCUUUCUUCUGGCUUUCAUGAUAGUGGUUUUUUUUUUUUUUUUAAAGAUUUCAGACCAGUCAUUUUGUAAAAUGCAGUAUUUUGAGACUAUUCCUAGGGGAAUGUGUCCAUGGUAUUUGGACAUAUUUUAUUAGCCAAGGGUCAUACGAAGCCGUAAUUUGUAACUGUAAGCAGCUGCUUAAAUACAUACAAUAAAAAUAAAUUUGUCAUUCUAGUGAAUAAAUAUAUACACUCAGAAAACAGUAUACCUUGUACUGUAUCUUUCACUGGCUGGGAAGGCUGUUGAGGAGCAGGGUGAGAGUUCUCCUGAAAGAUAAGAAAACCCAAAAAGAAAAUGUAAGUAGGCAUUCAUUGAAAUAAAAAUUUCACAUGAACCCUUUGACUCUUGCAGUUCAUUUAUAGGAAUCCAUAAUAAAAAUAAUAAAAUGCACAACAGAAAUGUUCCAAAGACAUUCACUGCUGCACUACAGUAAUACAAAAUAAAAAACACUAUAAAUGCCCAUAAAGGGUGAAACAGUUAAAUAAAUUACAUCCCCAUCCAAUACAGACAUUCCAAGAAUAACGAAGGAUGACCUCCUAUUCUCUGUAUAUUUUCCAUUUUCCUCUCUGUAUAUGGUUGAGCAUCCCUAAUCUGAAAAUACAGAAUGCUCCAAAAUCUGAAACUUUAUGAGUGCCAACACAACACUCAAAGGAAACACUCAUUGGAGCACUUUGGAUUUCUGGAUGUGGGAUGCUAUAAGUACAUGUAAUGCAAAUGUUCCAAAAUCCAAAAAUAUCUAAAAUUCGAAACACUUCUGCUCCUAAGAAUUUUGGGUAAGAGAUACUCAACCUGUACUAACAUAGAGAUCUGUGAUGGGAGGAAAAUGGAAAAUCUUAAGCAUUCUAAGUCAUAUCAUUUAUAUGUAUGUAUAUAACAGAUCUGCAAAAAUCUUUGGUGUUAUUGGUAAAUAUAGAAAAGGGCCUUGAAAUAUACACAACAAACCAUCCUCAGUGAUUACUUCUGAGGAAUGGAUAGAGAAGGGACACCCUAACUAUAAUUGUAAAAAUAUGUCAUACAUCCAAUUUCCUAUCCAGGGGUCAGCAAACUACAGUGUACAGACCAAAUCUGGACCACCUCUUGUUCUUGAAAAUGGAAGUUUUACUAAAACACA